UACGAAGGGUGCAAGCGUUAAUCGGAAUUACUGGGCGUAAAGGGUGCGUAGGCGGUUGUUUAAGUCUGUCGUGAAAUCCCCGGGCUCAACCUGGGAAUGGCGAUGGAUACUGGGCAGCUAGAGUGUGUCAGAGGAUGGUGGAAUUCCCGGUGUAGCGGUGAAAUGCGUAGAGAUCGGGAGGAACAUCAGUGGCGAAGGCGGCCAUCUGGGACAACACUGACGCUGAGGUACGAAAGCGUGGGGAGCAAACAGG
rnacentral:rRNA from 1 species